rnacentral:rRNA from 1 species
AACGAACGCUGGCGGCAUGCCUAACACAUGCAAGUCGAACGAGACCUUCGGGUCUAGUGGCGCACGGGUGCGUAACGCGUGGGAACCUGCCCUUAGGUUCGGAAUAACUCCCCGAAAGGGGUGCUAAUACCGGAUAAUGUCUUCGGACCAAAGAUUGAUCGCCUUUGGAUGGGCCCGCGUUCGAUUAGCUAGUUGGUAGGGUAAAAGCCUAUCAAGGCGACGAUCCAUAGCUGGUCUGAGAGGAUGAUCAGCCACACUGGGACUGAGACACGGCCCAGACUCCUACGGGAGGCAGCAGUGGGGAAUAUUGGACAAUGGGCGAAAGCAUGAUCCAGCAAUGCCGCGUGAGUGAUGAAGGCCUUAGGGUUGUAAAGCUCUUUUACCCGGGAUGAUAAUGACAGUACCGGGAGAAUAAGCUCCGGCUAACUCCGU